AUGCAGCGCACAUUGCCGCUCCAGUUCCCGGGGCGCUGGGGAUGCGUCCAAAGUGGUUGAGACAGAGUUGGAAACCCUCACCAACUGGCCUCUUCACCUUCCGCCUUAUCCUGCUGCCACUGGCUGCCCUGUCUCACUGCAGAUUCAGAACCAGCUUGGGCUCCGUGCGUUCUGCCUUGCCAGCCGGCCGAGGAUAUAGUUGUUGCUGCCAUCAUCCUACCACCUCAGGGACCAGAGGGCUAGGUUGGCACUGCAACCCUCACCAGGUCCUGGGCUCGGACCCAACUCCUGGACCUUUCCGGCCUGUAUCAGGCUGUGGCCACAUGAGAGGACAGCGUGAGCUCAGGAGAGGCUUAGUGACAAUGUACGCCUUUCCCUCAGAAUUCAAGGAAGAGACUGUUGCCUGCCUUCCUCCAUCUUAGCGUGAGAACCCGUGUGUCCCUUCCCACCACAUCCACCCUCUCCAUUUUUGAACUCAAACACGAGGAACUAACUGUGCCCUGGUCCUCUCCCCAGUCCCCAAUUCACCCUCCAUCCCUCACCUUCCUCCACUCUAAAGGGAUAUCAACACUGCCCAGCACAGGGGCCCUGAAUUUAUGUGGUUUUUAUAUGUUUUUUAAUAAGAUGCACUUAUGUCAUUUUUUAA